rnacentral:rRNA from 1 species
AUACGGAGGGUGCGAGCGUUAAUCGGAAUUACUGGGCGUAAAGCGUGCGUAGGCGGCAUGGUCAGUCGGACGUGAAAGCCCUAGGCUCAACCUGGGAAUGGCAUUCGAUACUGCCUGACUAGAGUAUGGUAGAGGGAAGUGGAAUUUCCGGUGUAGCGGUGAAAUGCGUAGAUAUCGGAAGGAACACCAGUGGCGAAGGCGACUUCCUGGACCAAUACUGACGCUAAGGUGCGAAAGCGUGGGGAGCAAACAGGAUUAGAAACCCCAGUAGUCC